GACGAACGCUGGCGGCGUGCUUAACACAUGCAAGUCGAACGAAAAGACGGAAAGAGCUUGCUCUUUUCAGAAUUGAGUGGCAAACGGGUGAGUAACACGUAAACAACCUGCCUUCAGGAUGGGGACAACAGACGGAAACGACUGCUAAUACCGAAUAAGUUCCAAGAGCCGCAUGGCCCAUGGAAGAAAAGGUGGCCUCUACCUGUAAGCUAUCGCCUGAAGAGGGGUUUGCGUCUGAUUAGCUGGUUGGAGGGGUAACGGCCCACCAAGGCGACGAUCAGUAGCCGGUCUGAGAGGAUGAACGGCCACACUGGAACUGAGACACGGUCCAGACUCCUACGGGAGGCAGCAGUGGGGAAUCUUCCGCAAUGGGCGAAAGCCUGACGGAGCAACGCCGCGUGAGUGAUGACGGCCUUCGGGUUGUAAAACUCUGUGAUCCGGGACGAAAAGGCAGAGUGCGAAGAACAAACUGCAUUGACGUACCGGAAAGCAG
rnacentral:rRNA from 1 species